AACAUAAUAUACACUAUAUCUUGAUACGAUAUAAAAGGCAAAUACCCUUAUGUUU
rnacentral:tRNA from 1 species